GGAUAGAUGGCCGAGUGGUCGAAGGCGCACGAUUGGAAAUCGUGUGUACCCCCAAAGGGUACCGUGGGUUCGAAUCCCACUCUAUCCGCCA
rnacentral:tRNA from 2 species